rnacentral:rRNA from 1 species
GUGGGGAAUAUUGGACAAUGGGCGAAAGCCUGAUCCAGCAAUGCCGCGUGAGUGAUGAAGGCCUUAGGGUUGUAAAGCUCUUUUACCCGGGAUGAUAAUGACAGUACCGGGAGAAUAAGCUCCGGAUAACUCCGUGCCAGCAGCCGCGGUAAUACGGAGGGAGCUAGCGUUGUUCGGAAUUACUGGGCGUAAAGCGCACGUAGGCGGCUUUGUAAGUUAGAGGUGAAAGCCUGGAGCUUAACUCCAGAACUGCCUUUAAGACGGCAUCGCUUGAAUCCAGGUGAGGGGAGUGGAAUUCCGAGUGUAGAGGUGAAAUUCGUAGAUAUUCGGAAGAACACCAGGGGCGAAGGCGGCUCACUGGACUGGUAUUGACGCUGAGGUGCGAAAGCGUGGGGAGCAAACAGGAUUAGAUACCCGAGUAGUCC